UACGAGGGGGGCGAGCGUUGUUCGGAAUCACUGGGCUUAAAGCGUGCGUAGGCGGAUUUACAAGUCAGAAGUGAAAUCCCGGGGCUUAACCCCGGAACUGCUUUUGAAACUGUAAGUCUAGAGUCCCGGAGAGGUUAGGAGAAUUCCGAGUGUAGAGGUGAAAUUCGCAGAUAUUCGGAGGAAUACCAGUGGCGUAGGCGCCUAACUGGACGGGUACUGACGCUGAGGCACGAAAGCGUGGGGAGCAAACAGG
rnacentral:misc_RNA from 1 species